UACGUAGGGUGCGAGCGUUAAUCGGAAUUACUGGGCGUAAAGCGUGCGUAGGCGGUUCGCUGUGUCCGAUGUGAAAGCCCCGGGCUUAACCUGGGAAUGGCAUUGGAAACUGGCGGGCUUGAGUGUGGCAGAGGGGGGUGGAAUUCCGCGUGUAGCAGUGAAAUGCGUAGAGAUGCGGAGGAACACCGAUGGCGAAGGCAGCCCCCUGGGUUAACACUGACGCUCAGGCACGAAAGCGUGGGGAGCAACAGG
rnacentral:rRNA from 1 species